UACGUAGGGGGCAAGCGUUGUCCGGAUUUAUUGGGCGUAAAGAGCGUGUAGGCGGUUAGGUAGGUCCGUUGUGAAAACUCGAGGCUUAACCUCGAGAGGUCGGUGGAAACCCUCUGGCUAGAGUCCGGAAGAGGAGAGUGGAAUUCCUGGUGUAGCGGUGAAAUGCGCAGAUAUCAGGAAGAACACCCGUGGCGAAGGCGGCUCUCUGGGAACGGUACUGACGGCUGAGACGCGAAAGCGUGGGGAGCGAACAGG
rnacentral:rRNA from 1 species